GGGCGGAUGAUCCUCUCCAAGGAGGACAAGGAGGCGGCCAAGAUGGGACUCUCCAUCUUCACGCACCAGAAGGCUCCGGGCAGCCCCGAGGCGGCCGGCACCGUGAGGAAGCAGCACAAGGAGGACAAGGCCGAGGAGCAAAGCAGCUCAGAGAGCGCCAAGAAACCCAAAAAGGAGAAGAAAAACAAGAAGAAGAAGAA